rnacentral:lncRNA from 1 species
UAAAAAUCAGUUUUAUAAGCCAUGGUACUCUUCAUAAAUGUUUGCUUCCUAUUAAUACAAGUAUCAUGUAUUUAAUCAAUAUUUCUUUGAAUCAAUAUUCAUUUCAAUUUGACUUAAAUUAACGUGAUAUGUUGUUGAAUAUAGUCAUAAUGCCACACGUGCAGGAAGCUAUGGGAUGAAUUAUGCAACUGGCAACACCUAAACAUACGAAAUCCUCCAUAUCUGCCAUGACGGUGAGAAAAUAAUAACUUGUUAACUACAAACAUCUAAAUGAUGGUUUAACAGCAGAGAACGGCACAGACAUAUGAAGAGGUGUUAAACAGCUUUCCUGCCAAACAACAAAUACACCUUAGGACAUUAAUUAUGUUGUUAAUAUUAAGUAAUAAUAUAUUCACUCAGCGGAUGACGAUUGUAACUUUAUUUAGUUAAUGUUAACCUCAAUAAUUUUUACUAAUAUAUUGUGUUAAAUUUAUUGAUGACCAUAUUAUGGAAUUUACUUUUUGUUUUAAAAUUAUUG